AGCAGCCGCGGUAAUUCCAGCUCCAAUAGCGUAUAUUAAAGUUGUUGCAGUUAAAAAGCUCGUAGUUGAAUUUCGGGAUUGACGUGAUGGUCAUGCCUUAAGGGGUAUGAACUGUUACUGUUGAUUUCUCACCUUCUGGAGAAACUUGAUGUCCUUUAUUGGGUGUCUUGCGGAUCCAGGACCUUUACCUUGAAAAAUUAGAGUGUUUAAAGCAGGCAUUUUUGCUCGAAUACAUUAGCAUGGAAUAAUAGAAUAGGACGGCAUGGUUCUAUUUUGUUGGUUUCUAGGAUCACCGUAAUGAUUAAUAGGGAUAGUUGGGGGCAUUAGUAUUCAAUUGUCAGAGGUGAAAUUCUUGGAUUUAUUGAAGACUAACUACUGCGAAAGCAUUUGCCAAGGAUGUUUUCAUUAAUCAAGAACGAAAGUUAGGGGAUCGAAGACGAUCAGAUACCGUCGUAGUCUUAACCACUAAACUAUGCCGACUAGGAAUCAGACGAUGUUAAUUUUUAAUGU
rnacentral:rRNA from 1 species